GACGCUUAACGACACCUGCUAUAUAAACGCAAUAAACGCAGAAAGGACAAAUCCAGCAGGCAGAUCCACUAUCUGGCGCAGAACAGAACUAUACGUCAAUCGAGUGAUGGAGCAGCGGUUUGGUUAUAAUUGGAUCAGUUUAGUUAGGUAUUGCAAAUAUUGGCAGCCAGGGAAGCUGGCGACCCAGUGAUGAAACCUAAUUGGUGUUGGUGUACGUGAAAAUGAAAAUGGAGGUUGGGGAAUUCGUUCGAGCGACUGGUUUAAUUGGACUGCAAUGUUGCGAUGGGACGCGACUACGCGACGUCCAAAUUGCAUUGGAAGAGAAACGGACCGGCCACGGACCACGAGAGGGGAAUGAUGAUGAGAGAUACCAGAGAAGGGGAUAAUUAGAAUUACCUAAACAAGGGAACAGUGAAGAAGAAGCAACCAUAAAAUACAUAUUUGCGAAACAUACAAACGAAUACACCUAAGAGUAUGACGUAAAUCAAUGUAAAUACAAAUUUGGCAGAAAUUUAACACACACUUCUAAUAAAUUUCGAUUUUGAUUGAAUACUUUAACACAAAAUAUUUAGAAGAUUUUUUAUAUUUCAUUGAAAUCAAAUAGUAUUUAGAACGAUUAAAAUGCAGAUAUAGAAUCUUAAAUAAUUGUAAGAAGAAUUCUAAAAUCCCAUCUAAAAAAAUACUCCCAUCGUUGCACGUAACGACCCAUGCUUUUGUAAUAUUUUCUUUCUUUGUAAGUUUUUUCCAAAAUUAAUCAUGACAAAUAAGUAAUGUGAGGCUUUAAUAAAAUCAGAUUUUACCACUGUUUGCAUAAUCGUAGGUUGAAAGAGGAUAUAUUCCAAUAUACAAAAUAUAUAAAAACAAAUGGAAGAUGUGCUAUUCACAUAGAUAUGUAAAUUAAUUCCGAAAAUACAUUUGUUAUUUUCCUAGGA